UCUCCGUUUGUGAACAAGCGGAGGGAUUAUUACAGAGUUUUUAAAUCACAAACCCAUGUGAACUUACCAUUGUUGCCUCGGCGGAGCCUACCCUGUAGCUACCCUGUAGGGUGGUUACCCUGUAGCGCCCCGCCGGUGGAUUUUCAAACUCUUGUUAUUUUUAGUAAUCUGAGCGUCUUAUUUUAAAUAAGUCAAAACUUUCAACAACGGAUCUCUUGGUUCUGGCAUCGAUGAAGAACGCAGC
rnacentral:misc_RNA from 1 species